rnacentral:pre_miRNA from 1 species
CACUCAUAACUUUCUGAAAUGGUUGCCUUUCAGGCAUAAAUAUUCCAGGUUAGGUCUCUGCUUGAAGGUGAAUUCUUGUUUUAAAGUUUGAGC